UUUUAGCUCAGUUGGUAGAGCGUGAAACUCCUAAUCUCAGGGUUGUGGGUUCGAGUCCCACACUGGGCAAAA